AUUGUAGUUGUUGUACUGAAGCUGAAAGGAACCAGGCCUGGAUCCAUCAGAAUUCAGUUUACAAGACAAAGGCUACCGACUUGCAGUUGUUACCAAAACAAGAACAACGUUUGUGUUCAGUGUGAAGACUUGAAGAACGAGCGAAAGACUGAGAUGUGCCUGUUGGUGUCCUCGCCAUGAUACAGUCAAAGAAUCCAUAUCCCAGAUUUGAGCCAGUUGGUCAUGUUGCCCUGACCAUGAAGUUGUCCAAAGGGUUAUGGAUGUUCCCAGGCUAGAGGUCAGCAGCUCGGGAUCUGAGCCACCUCUGUGACCUACACCACAUCUCAUGGCAACAUGGGAUCCUUGAUCCACUGAGCAAAGCCAGGGAUUGAACCCACGUCAUCAUGGAUACCCACCUGCCACAACGGGAACUCCUGAUUGAUUUUUUUUAAGCCAAAACCUCCAAGAAAAAGGACAUUAUGGUACACCUAAUAAUAGAAAGACUAAGCUAUUAUAGCAACUCUGUCUUAAUGAGAGUUGAUACACCAGCUCAGUCUUUCCUAAAACAAGCACAGACAGCAUCUAUUGCUCCAAAGAACAUGAAGGGUUGCAAUGACUCCUGGGUCCCAUGAGAGGUGAUGUUUGGGUAAAGAUAUCACGAAGAAUCUGUGCUAUUUCAAAUACCCAGGAAAUUAAUUAAUAAAGAUGUUUCUGGAAGUUAGAGAUUUGGCCAACUGAACUCAUUCCCCAUGGUGACUUCUUCCUGAGAGCAGAUUCCAUCAUGCCCUUGGGUCAUACUGAGAAUCAGUGUAAAACCAUCACAGCUUGUCAUCUUCUAGGAAAGUAUGUUUCAGGAGAGGAUCUGUCUUUAUAUAAGAAUCUAGAAUUCAUGGGAGUUUCCAUCGUGGCUCAUCCUUAACGAACCUGACUAUUAUCCAUAAGAAUGUGGGUUUGAUCCCUGGCCCUGCUCAGUGGGUUAAGGAUCCAGUAUUACCAUGAGCUGUGGAGUAGCUUGUGGACGCGGCUCAGAUCUGGCGGUGUUGCUGUGGCUGUGGCUGGCAGCUACCGCUCUGAUUUGACCCCUAGCCUGGGAACUUCCAUAUGUUGCAGGUGCGGCCCUAAAAAGACAUUAAAAAAAAAAAA
rnacentral:lncRNA from 1 species